rnacentral:rRNA from 2 species
UACGUACUGCGCGAACGUUAUUCGGAAUCACUGGGCUUAAAGGGUGCGUAGGCGGUUUUUCAAGUCAGGUGUGAAAUCUUUCGGCUCAACCGGAAAAUGGCGCUUGAAACUGAGAGACUGGAGUAUGCUAGGGGUGUGCGGAACUGCCAGUGGAGCGGUGAAAUGUGUUGAGAUUGGCAGGAACGCCGGUGGCGAAAGCGGCACACUGGGGCAUAACUGACGCUGAGGCACGAAAGCCAGGGUAGCGAACGGG